rnacentral:rRNA from 1 species
GGCGAACGCUGGCGGCGUGCCUAAUACAUGCAAGUCGAGCGAAGUUUUUCUGGUGCUUGCACUAGAAAAACUUAGCGGCGAACGGGUGAGUAACACGUAAAGAACCUGCCUCAUAGACUGGGACAACUAUUGGAAACGAUAGCUAAUACCGGAUAACAGUAUUUCUCGCAUGAGAGAUAUUUAAAAGUUGGUUAUGCUAACACUAUGAGAUGGCUUUGCGGUGCAUUAGCUAGUUGGUGGGGUAAAGGCCCACCAAGGCGACGAUGCAUAGCCGACCUGAGAGGGUGAUCGGCCACACUGGGACUGAGACACGGCCCAGACUCCUACGGGAGGCAGCAGUAGGGAAUCUUCCGCAAUGGGCGAAAGCCUGACGGAGCAACGCCGCGUGAGUGAAGAAGGAUUUCGGUUCGUAAAGCUCUGUUGUUAGGGAAGAAUGGAUAUGUAGUAACUAUACAUGUAAGAGACGGUACCUAACCAGAAAGCCACGGCUAACUACGU